UUAAGCGACUAAGCGUACACGGUGGAUGCCCUGGCAGUCAGAGGCGAUGAAGGACGUGCUAAUCUGCGAUAAGCGUCGGUAAGGUGAUAUGAACCGUUAUAACCGGCGAUUUCCGAAUGGGGAAACCCAGUGUGUUUCGACACACUAUCAUUAACUGAAUCCAUAGGUUAAUGAGGCGAACCGGGGGAACUGAAACAUCUAAGUACCCCGAGGAAAAGAAAUCAACCGAGAUUCCCCCAGUAGCGGCGAGCGAACGGGGAGCAGCCCAGAGCCUGAAUCAGUGUGUGUGUUAGUGGAAGCGUCUGGAAAGGCGCGCGAUACAGGGUGACAGCCCCGUACACAAAAAUGCACAUACUGUGAGCUCGAUGAGUAGGGCGGGACACGUGGUAUCCUGUCUGAAUAUGGGGGGACCAUCCUCCAAGGCUAAAUACUCCUGACUGACCGAUAGUGAACCAGUACCGUGAGGGAAAGGCGAAAAGAACCCCGGCGAGGGGAGUGAAAAAGAACCUGAAACCGUGUACGUACAAGCAGUGGGAGCCUCUUUUAUGGGGUGACUGCGUACCUUUUGUAUAAUGGGUCAGCGACUUAUAUUCUGUAGCAAGGUUAACCGAAUAGGGGAGCCGAAGGGAAACCGAGUCUUAACUGGGCGUUAAGUUGCAGGGUAUAGACCCGAAACCCGGUGAUCUAGCCAUGGGCAGGUUGAAGGUUGGGUAACACUAACUGGAGGACCGAACCGACUAAUGUUGAAAAAUUAGCGGAUGACUUGUGGCUGGGGGUGAAAGGCCAAUCAAACCGGGAGAUAGCUGGUUCUCCCCGAAAGCUAUUUAGGUAGCGCCUCGUGAAUUCAUCUCCGGGGGUAGAGCACUGUUUCGGCAAGGGGGUCAUCCCGACUUACCAACCCGAUGCAAACUGCGAAUACCGGAGAAUGUUAUCACGGGAGACACACGGCGGGUGCUAACGUCCGUCGUGAAGAGGGAAACAACCCAGACCGCCAGCUAAGGUCCCAAAGUCAUGGUUAAGUGGGAAACGAUGUGGGAAGGCCCAGACAGCCAGGAUGUUGGCUUAGAAGCAGCCAUCAUUUAAAGAAAGCGUAAUAGCUCACUGGUCGAGUCGGCCUGCGCGGAAGAUGUAACGGGGCUAAACCAUGCACCGAAGCUGCGGCAGCGACGCUUAUGCGUUGUUGGGUAGGGGAGCGUUCUGUAAGCCUGUGAAGGUGUGCUGUGAGGCAUGCUGGAGGUAUCAGAAGUGCGAAUGCUGACAUAAGUAACGAUAAAGCGGGUGAAAAGCCCGCUCGCCGGAAGACCAAGGGUUCCUGUCCAACGUUAAUCGGGGCAGGGUGAGUCGACCCCUAAGGCGAGGCCGAAAGGCGUAGUCGAUGGGAAACAGGUUAAUAUUCCUGUACUUGGUGUUACUGCGAAGGGGGGACGAAGAAGGCUAUGUUGGCCGGGCGACGGUUGUCCCGGUUUAAGCGUGUAGGCUGGUUUUCCAGGCAAAUCCGGAAAAUCAAGGCUGAGGCGUGAUGACGAGGCACUACGGUGCUGAAGCAACAAAUGCCCUGCUUCCAGGAAAAGCCUCUAAGCAUCAGGUAACAUCAAAUCGUACCCCAAACCGACACAGGUGGUCAGGUAGAGAAUACCAAGGCGCUUGAGAGAACUCGGGUGAAGGAACUAGGCAAAAUGGUGCCGUAACUUCGGGAGAAGGCACGCUGAUAUGUAGGUGAAGUCCCUCGCGGAUGGAGCUGAAAUCAGUCGAAGAUACCAGCUGGCUGCAACUGUUUAUUAAAAACACAGCACUGUGCAAACACGAAAGUGGACGAAUACGGUGUGACGCCUGCCCGGUGCCGGAAGGUUAAUUGAUGGGGUCAGCGCAAGCGAAGCUCUUGAUCGAAGCCCCGGUAAACGGCGGCCGUAACUAUAACGGUCCUAAGGUAGCGAAAUUCCUUGUCGGGUAAGUUCCGACCUGCACGAAUGGCGUAAUGAUGGCCAGGCUGUCUCCACCCGAGACUCAGUGAAAUUGAACUCGCUGUGAAGAUGCAGUGUACCCGCGGAAAGACGGAAAGACCCCGUGAACCUUUACUAUAGCUUGACACUGAACAUUGAGCCUUGAUGUGUAGGAUAGGUGGGAGGCUUUGAAGUGUGGACGCCAGUCUGCAUGGAGCCGACCUUGAAAUACCACCCUUUAAUGUUUGAUGUUCUAACGUGGACCCGUAAUCCGGGUUGCGGACAGUGUCUGGUGGGUAGUUUGACUGGGGCGGUCUCCUCCUAAAGAGUAACGGAGGAGCACGAAGGUUGGCUAAUCCUGGUCGGACAUCAGGAGGUUAGUGCAAUGGCAUAAGCCAGCUUGACUGCGAGCGUGACGGCGCGAGCAGGUGCGAAAGCAGGUCAUAGUGAUCCGGUGGUUCUGAAUGGAAGGGCCAUCGCUCAACGGAUAAAAGGUACUCCGGGGAUAACAGGCUGAUACCGCCCAAGAGUUCAUAUCGACGGCGGUGUUUGGCACCUCGAUGUCGGCUCAUCACAUCCUGGGGCUGAAGUAGGUCCCAAGGGUAUGGCUGUUCGCCAUUUAAAGUGGUACGCGAGCUGGGUUUAGAACGUCGUGAGACAGUUCGGUCCCUAUCUGCCGUGGGCGCUGGAGAACUGAGGGGGGCUGCUCCUAGUACGAGAGGACCGGAGUGGACGCAUCACUGGUGUUCGGGUUGUCAUGCCAAUGGCACUGCCCGGUAGCUAAAUGCGGAAGAGAUAAGUGCUGAAAGCAUCUAAGCACGAAACUUGCCCCGAGAUGAGUUCUCCCUGACCCCUUAAGAGUCCUGAAGGAACGUUGAAGACGACGACGUUGAUAGGCCGGGUGUGUAAGCGCAGCGAUGCGUUGAGCUAACCGGUACUAAUGAACCGUGAGGCUUAACCUU
rnacentral:rRNA from 1 species